rnacentral:rRNA from 1 species
AGAAUUCAGUGAGUCAUCGAAAUUUUGAACGCAUAUUGCACUUUCGGGUUAGACCUGGAAGUAUGUCUGUAUCA